GAAAAUGCUCAUGGCUCAUAUAUUAAAACUAGAAUAAUACAGGGAAUAUUAGUGUGACCCCCAUGAAAGGAUGACGUGCAAAUUCAUGAAGUUCCUUAUUAUUUU